CCAGACUCCUACGGGAGGCAGCAGUGGGGAAUAUUGGGCAAUGGGCGAAAGCCUGACCCAGCAACGCCGCGUGAAGGAAGAAGGCUUUCGGGUUGUAAACUUCUUUUGACAGGGAAGAGCAGAAGACGGUACCUGCCGAAUAAGCCACGGCUAACUACGUGCCAGCAGCCGCGGUAAUACGUAGGGGGCAAGCGUUAUCCGGAUUCACUGGGUGUAAAGGGAGCGUAGACGGCGACGCAAGUCUGGAGUGAAAGCCCGGGGCUCAACCCCGGGACUGCUCUGGAAACUGCGGCGCUGGAGUACGGGAGGGGCAGGCGGAAUUCCUGGUGUAGCGGUGAAAUGCGUAGAUAUCAGGAGGAACACCGGCGGCGAAGGCGUCUUACUGGACCGAAACUGACGUUGAGGCUCGAAAGCGUGGGGAGCAAACAGGAUUAGAGACCCUAGUAAAU
rnacentral:rRNA from 1 species